rnacentral:rRNA from 1 species
UACGAGGGGGGCAAAUGUUGUUCGGAAUCACUGGGCGUAAAGGGAGCGUAGGCGGGUUUCUAAGUCAGGUGUUUAAUCCCGGGGCCCAACCCCGGACAGGCACUUGAAACUGGGAAUCUUGAAUAGUGGAGAGGUCAGUGGAAUUGGGGGUGUAGCGGUGGAAUGCGUAGAGAUCCACAAGAACACCAGUUGCGAAGGCGGCUGACUGGACACAUAUUGACGCUGAGGCUCGAAAGCAUGGGGAGCAAACAGG